rnacentral:ncRNA from 1 species
GGCAAGAGUAGAAGCGUUCACUGUCGCGCCAGGAACCGAACGGUUCCCCGGAUAACCAGCGCGAACAGCCGGAAAUUGCUCUUGAA